rfam:Brachypodium distachyon strain Bd21 chromosome 4, whole genome shotgun sequence.
UAUGUACUCUCUUCGUCCAACAAAAAAUGUUUCAAGUUUGUUAAAAUUUGGAUGUAUCUAGACAAGAUUUUAGUGUAUAGAUGUAUUCAAAUUUAAUCAAAGUUGAGACAUCCUUUGUUGGACGGAGGGAGUAUUAG